UUCCAUCUUGUUACUGUACUGUAAAUGACAACAGAACUACAAAACAAUGUCAAUAAAGUUGAAAGUCUAUUUGGUUGUCAAUACCAUUUGUGAAGACAUUAUGAAAUGUAAAAAUCUCUACACCAGUAUUUAUCAAUGCAGUUUUCAUUAGGAAGAUUUUUCAAUGCAGUUUUGAUU